CAGGGGCGGGUUUAUGACCAAUGACCGGACUAUAAAGGCUGGUGCGGCGCGUGUCUCCAUCUCAGCAGAGGAACAACAUAACCUCAAUCCUCCAAGGAAGAUCGGUAACGCAAGAGGUCUGCCUUCUCCUGCACGCAGUCACUGAGAGAACAGCAUGGUCAUGUCUGAGGUUUGGACUGUGGCUCUCCUGACUCUCUUCCUCAUUUUCAAAGAAGGGGAAAGUAACUUAAACAACCAAAACCUGCAUAACAUCAUAAAUAAAAUGAAGCAAAAUUUGAAACCUAAGAUGUUACAGGAUGAGAUAAGCAAGAGACACAACCCCAAAAUGGCAAAGGGUGUCCAAUACAGCGUGGGUCUCCAGCUCACAAGAGACAACUGUGAUUCAGGAGACAUGACAUCUGUCACAGCUGAC